CCCAACACAAAGCAAUCCUGCCAGCUCAUGUCCGUGCUAAAAAUAAGGGCAACACGAAAAUCGAAAUGAAUAUGAUUGGUGCUUAGCCGCUCACCCGUAUUUGAUGCCAUUCAGUAUGCCAGCGGCCACUUGAGCCACAUCCAAUUUAUAGGUGCUCUGCAGGCGAACUAAGGCCAGAGCGGCGCCUUCCACAUCCUCCUGACUGGGAAAGUUAAGGCCAUAGUGUUGUGUAAUGUUGAAACCUAAAAUAUUGAAUACAAGUUUUCUUUGAUAUGAUUAUGAUUACACUGAAAAUAAUGUUGAA